ACCACACAUACACACCCACACACACCUAAACCAACCCAUGGACCCUCCCUCAUUCCUCUCUCUCUCGGAUUUCUUCCAUUCCUUUACCAUUGUACGGACAAACUUCAAAACCAACCAUACAUGCACGGAUCGACGUCUAGAAGGAGUUUUGAGGUUAUAGGAGCUUUAGAACCUUCUCACGAAGCUCGAGGAACAAGUUUGAAGGAUUUUGGACAUCGCAAUAGCAAGUUCUAAAGUUGGCCGGUUUUUGUGAGAUUUCUCUAGCGAGAUUCUAGCAUUUUUGGUGCUUCAAAGUGUUUUCGAUGACGACGAUGGAGUCCGGUGACUAGCCGGAGAAGAAAGGGGAAUAUUCUGUUAACCUUAACAGAAUAUUCAUAGCGGCAAUUAACGGCGUCAGGUGAGACCUAUCCUGAGGACGAGCGCAGUCACUCAAGGCUCAGGGGUUACAACCCCUUCAUAUACCAGUUUUAGUUUGGAGCGCUCUUUUGGUGGCUUACGAGGAAUUCACGGCAUCCCUGACAGAUUAUCACCAACAUAAGAUCACCUUUGGAUGUUGUAUAAUUAGUAUUCGUCCUACUGGACUGCACUUAGGCCUUUUAUGCUCUGAUUACGUUUAUCAAACUUAGUCUCACACUAGUGUGUUACUUUAACUAGUUUUUCUAGUAGUUUGGUUUUUAUUUGUUCGUAAUUGUUUUAUUAUUAUUGCUUCUGCACUAUGCACAUGGCUACGUCACCUUUACGUGACGGCCAACAUACCUUGAUUUUCGAUCAGGGUGUGUCAAUUUUACUUUCUAAAGAUUUCCAUUUGGAAUGCUUCUUUUUAUAAAGUAAUUUUGCUCAUGAACGUGAAAGUGCUUUUAAUCGAAGCAUGUUGAAAUAUUUUUCAAGUACUUUUUGGAAGGCCACUAGAAGUUUUGAACUACCGCUUCUUGAAACAAGAACACAUGCACUUUUAAUUAUUCUAUGUGCUUUUCUAACUCAUAAACAUGAAAACUGUUUUGUGAAACAUUUUUGAAGUACUUUUGGCUGUAUGAAAAGCUCUUUUUCUAACCGAAUUUCAUGUGCUUUACCCAAAAAAAAAGACUUUCGACUUUGUCUCUCGUUUUUAGAAAUAUUUUUUGUGGUAUGGAGAUAAACUUAACAUUGCAAUAAGUUAUAAAUUUUUGAGUCUCAACUUAAUAAAUUAACUUGCAUAGUAAUAAUUGUUAAUAAGUUCAAAAAUAUACACUGUCACAAUAAUAAUUUAAGAUGAAAUAAUCUAUAUUCCUCUAAAGUUAUUUGAGACAAUGAUUUGUUAUUAUAGAGUUAAUGAUACAUCUUUGAUCUUGCGGGUACGUAAUAGGUAGCCAACAUGGACACUUUGUUUUUCUAAUAGUGUUUCAAAUUUCUCAAGCAUGUUUAUAGUUUUUUAGCAAAAAAUUUGAUAUUUCCGUACUGACAUCCUUAUGAUUAUCUCCUUUCCUUUCUUGCCUAAUUGCAUCAAUGAUUCAUUCUUCAGUUAAAGUGUAAACGACUUUGUUGCUCAUUUGGAUGAUUGAAUAAUACAUUUCAUUGGCAUAUGUUAAUGUUAAUGUAAUACUUUGUACCAAUACAAUUUUUGUUAAGGAUAAUUAAAUUAAAAAAUAAUAGUUUUUAACUAUCCUUUAUGUUAAGUAAUAAAAUUGGUUUGUUGUCGAACAUUGUAAUUUUAUAACCAUAAAAAGAUUUUACAGUAAUAGGGUGCACUUGGACUAGUAGUCUGGUACAGGGAACCCUUUCCCAAUCCAAAAUCAAUGGCCCUGAGAGGUUUAUCGCUUUGAAGAAAGUUGUGAAGGAGAGGGCACAAGAAAUAAAAACAAAUUGCAACUUGGAAAAGUCCCUUGUUGUGGUAUCCGACUUAAGUCUUGUUAUCAAACACCAUAUUCUCGUACUGUUGUUGAUGCGAUUCUUUGUGGUGUUUUCAUUUGAUUUCUUUGACGUGUGCCAUCAAAUAUGCUGUUAGAUUUGUGAAGUCCUAUCAAGUAACUGUCACUACUGGUUUCCUUUUUUUCAUCAACUCUUGAGCCACCACCACUUUCUAUCAUACAAUAUUGAAGAGAGCAACAGCCGCCUUCGUUAUCGAUGUGUUGAUUACAAUAUUGGUAUGCAAUAUAUGUUUUUCUU